AUCACCAUGCACGGAAGUCCGCCUGUCUUUUCAAGGCAAUCGACCGCCGCCGGUUUCAGCAGGAACGCUGCGAGUAUAUUUUUUCCUACGAGGUAAUACGCAGUGCUGACCGGUACCGUGAAGUGGUUCAAUGAAGGCAAGGGCUUUGGUUUCAUCACGCCCGACGACGGUGGCAAGGAUAUCUUUGUCCACUUUUCCGCAAUCGAAGGCGGCGGUUUCAAGACCCUGGCCGAAGGCCAGAAGGUGACUUUCGAAACCCAGAAGACCCCGAAGGGGCUGGCGGCUUCCAACGUCAAGCCCGCCUGAAGUCAGGGAUGGCUGGAUCCUGAUCCGUACGGGUCCCGUUUGACCCGUCGGGUUG
rnacentral:other from 1 species